rnacentral:rRNA from 1 species
GCGUUGUCCGGAAUUAUUGGGCGUAAAGAGCUCGUAGGCGGUUUGUCGCGUCUGCUGUGAAAACUCGAGGCUCAACCUCGGGCUUGCAGUGGGUACGGGCAGACUAGAGUGCGGUAGGGGAGACUGGAAUUCCUGGUGUAGCGGUGGAAUGCGCAGAUAUCAGGAGGAACACCGAUGGCGAAGGCAGGUCUCUGGGCCGCAACUGACGCUGAGGAGCGAAAGCAUG